GAGAAAGUAGUUUACAAAAAUGUUAGGUUGUCAACCUAGUGAUACCAAUUAUUAGGUUUUUCUCU
rnacentral:tRNA from 1 species